GAUGAAGAACGUAGCGAAAUGCGAUACGUAAUGUGAAUUGCAGAAUUCAGUGAAUCAUCGAAUCUUUGAACGCAUAUUGCGCUCUCUGGUAUUCCGGAGAGCAUGCUUGUUUGAGUAUCAGUAAACACCUCAACUCCCUUUUCUUUUUUGAAAUUGGAGCUGGACUUGAGUGAUCCCAACGCUUUCUUCCAAGAAAGUGGCGGGUUGCUUGAAAUGCAGGUGCAGCUGAACUUUUCUCUGAGCUAUAAGCAUAUCUAUUUAGUCUGCCUAAAAAACAAAUUAUUACCUUUGCUGCAGCUAACAUAAAGGAGACUAGUUCUUGUGCUGACUGAUGCAGGAUUCACAGAGACAGCUUCGGCUGACUUUGUAAACUCGAUCUCAAAUCAAGUAAGACUACCCGCUGAACUUAAGCAUAUCAAUAAGCGGAGGA
rnacentral:misc_RNA from 1 species